GAAAUGCGAUAAGUAAUGCGAAUUGCAGAAUUCCAGUGAGUCAUCGAAUCUUUGAACGCAUAUUGCGCCCUUUGGUAUUCCGAAGGGCAUGCCUGUUCGAGCGUCAUUAUCACCCCUCAAGCCCUCGGCUUGGUGUUGGAUGGUUCGGUUUUGGCGACAAGACCCCUCCUAAAGUUAAUGACGGCGGCCUGUGCGACCCCCGGUACACUGAGCUUCUUAAACUGAGCACGUACCGGUUUCAGGGUUGGCGGGACCCGGUCUUCUUCCCUUGCGCGGGAAACACUUCUCCAUAAGGUUGACCUCGGAUCAGGUAGGGAUACCCGCUGAACUUAA
rnacentral:misc_RNA from 1 species